AGCGCGCACGGUGGAUGCCUUGGCACUAGAAGCCGAUGAAGUACGUUACUAACGACGAUAUGCUUUGGGGAGCUGUAAGUAAGCUUUGAUCCAGAGAUUUCCGAAUGGGGAAACCCAGCAUGAGUUAUGUCAUGUUAUCGAUAUGUGAAUACAUAGCAUAUCAGAAGGCACACCCGGAGAACUGAAACAUCUUAGUACCCGGAGGAAGAGAAAGAAAAUUCGAUUCCCUUAGUAGCGGCGAGCGAAACGGGAAGAGCCCAAACCAACAAGCUUGCUUGUUGGGGUUGUAGGACACUCUAUACGGAGUUACAAAGGACGACAUUAGACGAAUCAUCUGGAAAGAUGAAUCAAAGAAGGUAAUAAUCCUGUAGUCGAAAAUGUUGUCUCUCUUGAGUGGAUCCUGAGUACGACGGAGCACGUGAAAUUCCGUCGGAAUCUGGGAGGACCAUCUCCUAAGGCUAAAUACUCUCUAGUGACCGAUAGUGAACCAGUACCGUGAGGGAAAGGUGAAAAGCACCCCGGAAGGGGAGUGAAAUAGAACCUGAAACCGUGUGCUUACAAGUAGUCAGAGCCCGUUAAUGGGUGAUGGCGUGCCUUUUGUAGAAUGAACCGGCGAGUUACGAUUUGAUGCAAGGUUAAGCAGUAAAUGUGGAGCCGUAGCGAAAGCGAGUCUGAAUAGGGCGUUUAGUAUUUGGUCGUAGACCCGAAACCAGGUGAUCUACCCUUGGUCAGGUUGAAGUUCAGGUAACACUGAAUGGAGGACCGAACCGACUUACGUUGAAAAGUGAGCGGAUGAACUGAGGGUAGCGGAGAAAUUCCAAUCGAACCUGGAGAUAGCUGGUUCUCUCCGAAAUAGCUUUAGGGCUAGCCUCAAGUGAUGAUUAUUGGAGGUAGAGCACUGUUUGGACGAGGGGCCCCUCUCGGGUUACCGAAUUCAGACAAACUCCGAAUGCCAAUUAAUUUAACUUGGGAGUCAGAACAUGGGUGAUAAGGUCCGUGUUCGAAAGGGAAACAGCCCAGACCACCAGCUAAGGUCCCAAAAUAUAUGUUAAGUGGAAAAGGAUGUGGCGUUGCCCAGACAACUAGGAUGUUGGCUUAGAAGCAGCCAUCAUUUAAAGAGUGCGUAAUAGCUCACUAGUCGAGUGACACUGCGCCGAAAAUGUACCGGGGCUAAACAUAUUACCGAAGCUGUGGAUUGUCCUUUGGACAAUGGUAGGAGAGCGUUCUAAGGGCGUUGAAGCAUGAUCGUAAGGACAUGUGGAGCGCUUAGAAGUGAGAAUGCCGGUGUGAGUAGCGAAAGACGGGUGAGAAUCCCGUCCACCGAUUGACUAAGGUUUCCAGAGGAAGGCUCGUCCGCUCUGGGUUAGUCGGGUCCUAAGCUGAGGCCGACAGGCGUAGGCGAUGGAUAACAGGUUGAUAUUCCUGUACCACCUAUAAUCGUUUUAAUCGAUGGGGGGACGCAGUAGGAUAGGCGAAGCGUGCGAUUGGAUUGCACGUCUAAGCAGUAAGGCUGAGUAUUAGGCAAAUCCGGUACUCGUUAAGGCUGAGCUGUGAUGGGGAGAAGACAUUGUGUCUUCGAGUCGUUGAUUUCACACUGCCGAGAAAAGCCUCUAGAUAGAAAAUAGGUGCCCGUACCGCAAACCGACACAGGUAGUCAAGAUGAGAAUUCUAAGGUGAGCGAGCGAACUCUCGUUAAGGAACUCGGCAAAAUGACCCCGUAACUUCGGGAGAAGGGGUGCUCUUUAGGGUUAACGCCCAGAAGAGCCGCAGUGAAUAGGCCCAAGCGACUGUUUAUCAAAAACACAGGUCUCUGCUAAACCGUAAGGUGAUGUAUAGGGGCUGACGCCUGCCCGGUGCUGGAAGGUUAAGAGGAGUGGUUAGCUUCUGCGAAGCUACGAAUCGAAGCCCCAGUAAACGGCGGCCGUAACUAUAACGGUCCUAAGGUAGCGAAAUUCCUUGUCGGGUAAGUUCCGACCCGCACGAAAGGCGUAACGAUUUGGGCACUGUCUCAACGAGAGACUCGGUGAAAUCAUAGUACCUGUGAAGAUGCAGGUUACCCGCGACAGGACGGAAAGACCCCGUGGAGCUUUACUGUAGCCUGAUAUUGAAAUUCGGCACAGCUUGUACAGGAUAGGUAGGAGCCUUUGAAACGUGAGCGCUAGCUUACGUGGAGGCGCUGGUGGGAUACUACCCUAGCUGUGUUGGCUUUCUAACCCGCACCACUUAUCGUGGUGGGAGACAGUGUCAGGCGGGCAGUUUGACUGGGGCGGUCGCCUCCUAAAAGGUAACGGAGGCGCUCAAAGGUUCCCUCAGAAUGGUUGGAAAUCAUUCAUAGAGUGUAAAGGCAUAAGGGAGCUUGACUGCGAGACCUACAAGUCGAGCAGGGUCGAAAGACGGACUUAGUGAUCCGGUGGUUCCGCAUGGAAGGGCCAUCGCUCAACGGAUAAAAGCUACCCCGGGGAUAACAGGCUUAUCUCCCCCAAGAGUUCACAUCGACGGGGAGGUUUGGCACCUCGAUGUCGGCUCAUCGCAUCCUGGGGCUGUAGUCGGUCCCAAGGGUUGGGCUGUUCGCCCAUUAAAGCGGUACGCGAGCUGGGUUCAGAACGUCGUGAGACAGUUCGGUCCCUAUCCGUCGUGGGCGUAGGAAAUUUGAGAGGAGCUGUCCUUAGUACGAGAGGACCGGGAUGGACAUACCUCUGGUGUACCAGUUGUCGUGCCAACGGCAUAGCUGGGUAGCUAUGUGUGGACGGGAUAAGUGCUGAAAGCAUCUAAGCAUGAAGCCCCCCUCAAGAUGAGAUUUCCCAACUUCGGUUAU
rnacentral:rRNA from 1 species